CUUGACUGAGCAUUUCCGUUUAUCUUUUAAUUUCUUUUCUAAUGGGGAGACAGUGUGCAUACAUGCUUUUGCUGCUUCAACCAGAAUGGAAAUGCCUUUUUUUCCCCUAGAUGUCCUGGUGCUGAUGCUGAGGAGAAGCGGGGACAGAGGGAAUGUUGGUGGAGUGAGAAGGCAGUCAGAUCAGUGAUUGAGCUUAGAAACUCCUGCAGGCAUUGGUCAGAGCCAUGGACAUGGCAGGCCUGGAGGAGAGGUGGAGGGGACGGAUUCUUGGAAAUAUGAUAGAAGAGAGAGGCUUGACGCGGAGCCUCCUGGGAUUAACGGUCUGUAUCAGUCAGAGCGUCAUGGACCCGGCAUCCUCCUUCUCAGUCCGCGGGAGUUUCCUUUUUCACGAGGAGAAAGCCUUGGAGUGACUUCUGCCCACAGAAAAGGUUCAGAACCUGGAGAGCCCUCUCAUCGCUGAAAGCUCCUGACUCCAGUGUGGUAGAAAAGAUGCUGGAGCCCCGUCUAACAUGGAGGAAGCAGACCAGGGGAGGACCAACCCCAGAUGUGCUGGAAAACCAUCCAAGAAGAAACAAAAAUUAUAACAACUUCCGGUUUACCCUCAAAGACCCCAAAAAAUAUGUCUUCUAAUUUGAUAACAUGUCAGAAGCAGAUGUAAUGUCAUUUAAGGAUCAAGUUGCUUUAUACCAGUUCAAGCAAUCAUUUUAGUAUCUAUGAAUGAAAGGAACAUAGUUUUAUUUCUGCUUUUUCAUUUUAACAGGUUGCUCCAGGUAAGACCAGGGAAAUGUUUAUUUGACUCUCAUACUCAAAUUUCUUUCACUUAACAAUUUGGAAAAUACUGCCCAAGAUGUUUGUAGUCACCUAAAUUCACAAGAGCUUUUGGGUAAAAUUUCAACUGUCAAUUGAAAUAAAUUCACAACGUGAGACUGACA
ensembl:lncRNA